rnacentral:rRNA from 1 species
CUGGCCGCCGGGGGGCUCACGCCCCCGGGCCCGCGCCCGCCGAAGACACCCCCGAACUCUGCCUGAAGAUUGUCGUCUGAGUGAAAAUAUAAAUUAUUUAAAACUUUCAACAACGGAUCUCUUGGUUCCGGCAUCGAUGAAGAACGCAGCGAAAUGCGAUACGUAAUGUGAAUUGCAAAUUCAGUGAAUCAUCGAGUCUUUGAACGCACAUUGCGCCCCCUGGUAUUCCGGGGGGCAUGCCUGUCCGAGCGUCAUUGCUGCCCUCAAGCCCGGCUUGUGUGUUGGGCCCCGUCCUCCGAUUCCGGGGGACGGGCCCGAAAGGCAGCGGCGGCACCGCGUCCGGUCCUCGAGCGUAUGGGGCUUUGUCACCCGCUCUGUAGGCCCGGCCGGCGCUUGCCGAUCAACCCAAAUUUUUAUCCAGGUUGACCUCGGAUCAGGUAGGGAUACCCGCUGAACUUAAGCAUAUCAAUAA